rnacentral:rRNA from 1 species
GACGAACGCUGGCGGCGUGCUUAACACAUGCAAGUCGAACGGAAAGGCCCUGCUUUUGUGGGGUGCUCGAGUGGCGAACGGGUGAGUAACACGUGAGUAACCUGCCCUUGACUUUGGGAUAACUUCAGGAAACUGGGGCUAAUACCGGAUAGGAGCUCCUGCUGCAUGGUGGGGGUUGGAAAGUUUCGGCGGUUGGGGCUGGACUCGCGGCUUAUCAGCUUGUUGGUGGGGUAGUGGUUUACCAAGGCUUUGACGGGUAGCCGGCCUGAGAGGGUGACCGGCCACAUUGGGCCUGAGAUACGGCCCAGACUCCUACGGGAGGCAGCAGUGGGGAAUAUUGCACAAUGGGCGGAAGCCUGAUGCAGCAACGCCGCGUGCGGGAUGACGGCCUUCGGGUUGUAAACCGCUUUCGCCUGUGACGAAGCGUGAGUGACGGUAAUGGGUAAAGAAGCACCGGCUAACUACGUG